CCUACGGGAGGCAGCAGUGGGGAAUAUUGCGCAAUGGGCGAAAGCCUGACGCAGCGACGCCGCGUGAGGGAUGAAGGUCUUCGGAUCGUAAACCUCUGUCAGCAGGGAAGAACGGUCACUGUGCUAAUCAGCAGUGAAUUGACGGUACCUGCAAAGGAAGCACCGGCUAACUCCGUGCCAGCAGCCGCGGCAAUACGGAGGGUGCGAGCGUUAAUCGGAAUUACUGGGCGUAAAGCGCUCGUAGGCGGUAUGUCAAGUCAAGGGGGAAAUCCCCGCGCUCAACGUGGGAACUGCCUUUGAAACUGGCAAACUGGAGUGUGUGAGAGGAUAGUGGAAUUCCAGGUGUAGGAGUGAAAUCCGUAGAUAUCUGGAGGAACAUCAGUGGCGAAGGCGACUAUCUGGCACAUAACUGACGCUGAGGAGCGAAAGCGUGGGUAGCAAACAGGAUUAGAUACCCGAGUAGGC
rnacentral:rRNA from 1 species